AUGAGGAACUCCUGUGAGUGCUGCAAGAGAUACUGGACCCAUUUGCAUGGAAAGGUCAAGCGUUUCAUCACGCGCAUGGAUAGACACUCUAGGCAUAGCAUGGUCAUACCAGAGAGAUUUGUGAACUAUUUCGCGUGGAAGCUGUCAGGAACCAUCAAGUUGGAAGCCCCCAAUGGCAAUGUCUACGAUGUUGGAAUUACUGAGCGUAGGAACAAAACAGUGCUCCGAUCUGGGUGGGAGGCGUUUGUCGACGCCAAUCAUAUUGUAGAAAGUGACUCGUUGAUGUUCCGAUACCGUGGAAAUUGUCGCUUCAAGGUCGUGGUCUUUGAUUCUAGUGGUUGUGAGAAAGUGUUUUCCUGUGCUGGCAUACUGACCAAUAUUAGUGAUCAAGAACCAAGCACAAAUUCUACGGACAUUUCAACCAGUUUCAGUGAUGGUAAUACUCAUUCGUCAGCACGACGACAAUCAGAUGAUUGCCAGAGUGGAAGCUCAGGCCACCGUAGAAAGCGAGCAAAGAAAGAUGCAAUAUCCUCACCUUCGGAGGAUUCGUCAGGAGAAGACAGUCCUUAUGAGCAUGAGUCAUCUGAAUCCGAUGGUCAGACGCUCCCAACGCCUCUUUAUGUGUUAUCAGGGAAGUGCUAUUUAACAGAAGAAGAUGACGCCAAUAUAGUUGAACUUGUCCAGGAAAUUCAACCCGAAAUGCCUUUGCUCGUGGCUAUGAUGAGGAAGCCCAGUGUGAAACCAUAUCCUGAUCUGGUAAUUCCCAAGGAUUACACACUCGCACACUUUCCUCGCAAAAAUCAGACUAUCAAACUACAACUGCCUGAGCAGAGCAAGAAAUGGUACUGCGAGUUCCGUGUCAAAUCUGAUGGAGGUCAUUGCAGUCUGUAUGAUUGUGGCUUUGUCCGUGAAAAUAAUUUACUGGAGGGAGAUCUGUGCGUCUUUCAGCCCAUGACGAGUCGUAAGGGUAGAACAUUCAAAGUGAUUGUCCGUCUGCUUCGCAAAGCGACUAUUGAUCAUCCCUCAAGUGAAAAUAUCUCAAAACGUGGUUUGCCAAGCACAAAGAAUGCCCCAACAUUGUGUAUUAAGGAGGAACCAAAUGACGAUGAAGAAACCUUCUCUUCGGGUCAUCAUGAACAUCGGAUAAGUGAGAAGUAUCCUGAUCAUGAUGGUACAGAACCCUACAUGAUGGCAAUGGGUGCCGAACUAACGGAAGUGCAGGACAAGGUAGUUUUGGAGAAAGUUGGAGCCAUUGCGUCAGAUCUGCCCAUUUACGUGGCAGUCAUGACCAAGACCAGUGUCCGCGUCUCACUAACCUUUGGCACGGAGUACACUGCCAGGUACCUUCGAACGGGAGGCCGUAACUUGGUGCUUCAGCUGGAGGGGAAGAGCCAAAGAUGGCAUGGCAAGAUGCGCGACAAGAAAGGUGCCCUGAGGAUAAGUGGGGGCUGGACUUCUUUUGCGAGUGAGAACGGCCUGCGGGAGCGGGACAUCUGCCUCUUCGAACUGAUGAAAAACAAGGGGGAACUGAAGCAGAAGAUGAUGGUCUACAUCCUUUCCAGAGAAUUGUUUGCUUGA
rnacentral:rRNA from 1 species